rnacentral:rRNA from 1 species
UGGGAAACAGGUUAAUAUUCCUGUACUUGGUGUUACUGCGAAGGGGGGACGGAGAAGGCUAUGUUGGCCGGGCGACGGUUGUCCCGGUUUAAGCAUGUAGGCUGGUUUUCCAGGCAAAUCCGGAAAAUCAAGGCUGAGGCGUGAUGACGAGGCAUUACGGUGCUGAAGCAACAAAUGCCCUGCUUCCAGGAAAAGCCUCUAAGCAUCAGGUAACAUCAAAUCGUACCCCAAACCGACACAGGUGGUCAGGUAGAGA